rnacentral:rRNA from 1 species
GGAGUUAGCCGGUGCUUCUUCUGUGAGUGAUGUCCUUCCUGCCGGCUAUUAACCCGCAGGCCUUCUUCCUCACUGAAAGUGCUUUACAACCCGAAGGCCUUCUUCACACACGCGGCAUGGCUGGAUCAGGGUUGCCCCCAUUGUCCAAUAUUCCCCACUGCUGCCUCCCGUAGGAGUCUGGGCCGUGUCUCAGUCCCAGUGUGGCUGAUCAUCCUCUCAGACCAGCUACGGAUCGUCGCCUUGGUGAGCCGUUACCUCACCAACCAGCUAAUCCGACAUAGGCUCAUCCGAUAGCGCGAGGCCCGAAGGUCCCCCGCUUUCCCCCGUAGGGCGUAUGCGGUAUUAGCCUGGGUUUCCCCAGGUUAUCCCCCACUACCGGGCAGAUUCCUAUGCAUUACUCACCCGUCCGCCGCUCGCCACCAGGUAGCAAGCUCCCCGUGCUGCCGCUCGACUUGCAUGUGUUAGGCCUGCCGCCAGCGUUCAUCUGAGCCAUAAUACAAACUACUGA